UGACCUGCGGAGGGUCAUUACACAAAUAUGAAGGCGGGCUGGAACCUCUCGGGGUUACAGCCUUGCUGAAUUAUUCACCCUUGUCUUUUGCGUACUUCUUGUUUCCUUGGUGGGUUCGCCCACCACUAGGACAAACAUAAACCUUUUGUAAUUGCAAUCAGCGUCAGUAACAAAUUAAUAAUUACAACUUUCAACAACGGAUCUCUUGGUUCUGGCAUCGAUGAAGAACGCAGCGAAAUGCGAUAAGUAGUGUGAAUUGCAGAAUUCAGUGAAUCAUCGAAUCUUUGAACGCACAUUGCGCCCUUUGGUAUUCCAAAGGGCAUGCCUGUUCGAGCGUCAUUUGUACCCUCAAGCUUUGCUUGGUGUUGGGCGUCUUGUCUCUAGCUUUGCUGGAGACUCGCCUUAAAGUAAUUGGCAGCCGGCCUACUGGUUUCGGAGCGCAGCACAAGUCGCACUCUCUAUCAGCAAAGGUCUAGCAUCCAUUAAGCCUUUUUUUCAACUUUUGACCUCGGAUCAGGUAGGGAUACCCGCUGAACUUAAGCAUAUCAAUAAGCGGAGGAAAAGAAACCAACAGGGAUUGCCCUAGUAACGGCGAGUGAAGCGGCAACAGCUCAAAUUU
rnacentral:rRNA from 1 species